AAUGGUGAAGACGCAGGCGAUUAUCUUGGAUGUUCCCCUGCGGCCAUAUCGAUCAGCCA
rnacentral:ribozyme from 1 species